GACGAACGCUGGCGGCGUGCUUAACACAUGCAAGUCGAACGGUAAGGCCCUUCGGGGUACACGAGUGGCGAACGGGUGAGUAACACGUGGGUGAUCUGCCCUGCACUUCGGGAUAAGCCUGGGAAACUGGGUCUAAUACCGGAUAGGACCACUGCCUGCAUGGGUGGUGGUGGAAAGCUUUUGCGGUGUGGGAUGGGCCCUCGGCCUAUCAGCUUGUUGGUGGGGUGAUGGCCUACCAAGGCGACGACGGGUAGCCGGCCUGAGAGAGUGACCGGCCACACUGGGACUGAGAUACGGCCCAGACUCCUACGGGAGGCAGCAGUGGGGAAUAUUGCACAAUGGGCGCAAGCCUGAUGCAGCGACGCCGCGUGAGGGAUGACGGCCUUCGGGUUGUAAACCUCUUUCAGCACCGACGAAGCGCAAGUGACGGUAGGUGCAGAAGAAGGACCGGCCAACUACGUGCCAGCCGCCGCGGUAA
rnacentral:rRNA from 1 species